GAUGAACGCUGGCGGCGUGCUUAACACAUGCAAGUCGAACGGAGCUUGUCUGAUAGAGGAUUCGUCCAAUUGAUUUCAAGCUUAGUGGCGGACGGGUGAGUAACGCGUGAGGAACCUGUCUUGGAGUGGGGAAUAACACAGCGAAAAUUGUGCUAAUACCGCCUAAUGCAGUUGAGUCGCAUGGCUCUGACUGCCAAAGUUUUAUCGCUCUAAGAUGGCCUCGCGUCUGAUUAGGUAGUUGGUGAGGUAACGGCUCACCAAGCCGACGACCAGUAGCCGGACUGGUAGGUUGGCCGGCCACAUUGGGACUGAGGCACGGCCCAGACUCCUACGGGAGGCAGCAGUGGGGACUAUUGGGCAAUGCGGGCAAGCCUGACCCAGCAACGCCGCGUGAAAGAAGAAGGCUUUCGGGUUGUAAACUUCUUUUGUCAGGGACGAAUAAAUGACGGUACCUGACGAAUAAGCCACGGCUAACUACGUGCCAACAGCCGCCGCAGUAA
rnacentral:rRNA from 1 species